rfam:Ipomoea nil DNA, scaffold: scaffold1435, cultivar: Tokyo-kokei standard.
GUCGUUGUAGUAUAGUGGUGAGUAUCCCCGCCUGUCACGCGGGAGACCCGGUUCGAUCCCCGGCAACGGCG